rnacentral:misc_RNA from 1 species
UUGUCUGGUUUCCUUGUUCCUCCUUGCAGCCCCGUGGUUCCAAGGUGGACGUCGAAGCAGUUGCUGUGGCCCUGAAGCAAUCCUUUCGAGGCGGCUUUUCUUGGUCCAUGGGUCUCUGUUUGUGCUCUCGGAUGCGGAAUACUAUGCGGACAAAGGGCCUUUGGCCUUUGGUUGCUCCGAAUCUAGUCCCUCGACACGAACGACUAUCGUUACCUUAUUGGCCGUUGGGUUCAUUUGGUGCGAGGUCGCGGAGGAAUGCUACCUGGUUGAUCCUGCCA